rnacentral:rRNA from 1 species
GAUGAGCAGCGAACGGGUCGAGUAACGCGUGGGGAAUCUGCCUUUGAGUCGGGGGACAACAUUUGGAAACGAAUGCUGAAUACCGUCGAUAAAAACUUUAAUACACAAGUUUUAAGUUUGUGAAAGAUGCAAUUGCAUCACUCAAAGAUCGAUCCCGCGUUGUAUUAGCUAGUUGGUGAGGUAAAGGCUUACCAAGACGAUGAUGCAUAGCCGAGUUGAGAGACUGAUCGGCCACAUUGGGACUGAGACACGGCCCAAACUCCUACGGGAGGCUGCAGUAGGGAAUCUUCCACAAUGGGCGCAAGCCUGAUGGAGCAACGCCGCGUGUGUGAUGAAGGCUUUCGGGUCGUAAAGCACUGUUGUAUGGGAAGAAAUGCUAAAAUAGGGAAUGAUUUUAGUUUGACGGUACCAUACCAGAAAGGGACGGCUAAAUACGUGCCAGCAGCCGCGGUAAUACGUAUGUCCCGAGCGUUAUCCGGAUUUAUUGGGCGUAAAGCGAGCGCAGACGGUUGAUUAAGUCUGAUGCGAAAGCCCGGAGCUCAACUCCGGAAUGGCAUUGGAAACUGGUUAACUUGAGUGUUGUAGAGGUAAGUGGAACUCCAUGUGUAGCGGUGGAAUGCGUAGAUAUAUGGAAGAACACCAGUGGCGAAGGCGGCUUACUGGACAACAACUGACGUUGAGGCUCGAAAGUGUGGGUAGCAAACAGGAUUAGAUACCCUGGUAGUCCACACCGUAAACGAUGAAUACUAGGUGUUAGGAGGUUUCCGCCUCUUAGUGCCGAAGCUAACGCAUUAAGUAUUCCGCCUGGGGAGUACGACCGCAAGGUUGAAACUCAAAGGAAUUGACGGGGACCCGCACAAGCGGUGGAGCAUGUGGUUUAAUUCGAAGCAACGCGAAGAACCUUACCAGGUCUUGACAUCCUUUGAAGCUUUUAGAGAUAGAAGUGUUCUCUUCGGAGACAAAGUGACAGGUGGUGCAUGGUCGUCGUCAGCUCGUGUCGUGAGAUGUUGGGUUAAGUCCCGCAACGAGCGCAACCCUUAUUGUUAGUUGCCAGCAUUCAGUUGGGCACUCUAGCGAGACUGCCGGUGACAAACCGGAGGAAGGCGGGGACGACGUCAGAUCAUCAUGCCCCUUAUGACCUGGGCUACACACGUGCUACAAUGGCGUAUACAACGAGUUGCCAACCUGCGAAGGUGAGCUAAUCUCUUAAAGUACGUCUCAGUUCGGACUGCAGUCUGCAACUCGACUGCACGAAGUCGGAAUCGCUAGUAAUCGCGGAUCAGCACGCCGCGGUGAAUACGUUCCCGGGUCUUGUACACACCGCCCGUCACACCAUGGGAGUUUGUAAUGCCCAAAGCCGGUGGCCUAACC